CCUACGGGAGGCAGCAGUGGGGAAUAUUGGACAAUGGGGGGAACCCUGAUCCAGCCAUGCCGCGUGUGUGAAGAAGGCCCUCGGGUUGUAAAGCACUUUCAGUGAGGAAGAACGCCUGGUGGUUAAUACCCAUCAGGAAAGACAUCACUCACAGAAGAAGCACCGGCUAACUCCGUGCCAGCAGCCGCGGUAAUACGGAGGGUGCGAGCGUUAAUCGGAAUUACUGGGCGUAAAGCGCGCGUAGGUGGCUUGAUAAGCCGGUUGUGAAAGCCCCGGGCUCAACCUGGGAACGGCAUCCGGAACUGUCAAGCUAGAGUGUAGGAGAGGAAGGUAGAAUUCCCGGUGUAGCGGUGAAAUGCGUAGAGAUCGGGAGGAAUACCAGUGGCGAAGGCGGCCUUCUGGACUGACACUGACACUGAGGUGCGAAAGCGUGGGUAGCAAACAGGAUUAGAUACCCCAGUAGUC
rnacentral:rRNA from 1 species